rnacentral:lncRNA from 1 species
CUCCAUUCUUCCCUGCCGAUUCCUUGCCUCCAAAGUGAGAAGGCCCGAUUCUGCAGGGGCGGAGCUCUGGUCUGAGCAGGACCAGCGGGAAGCCACUGUCGCUCCUGAGGCUGGGUCGGUGCCAACAGGGCCUGGGGCUGCCCCAGGGGGACCUCACCUCCGCCCCCGGCACAGAACAGGUUCACGCAGGAUAGUCCGGAUGCAGGCCCCCGGUUCACCGCUCAGCCCACCUGAAUCUGAAGGACUAACGCAUUCCGGGUUAUGGCACCACCAGACGGAAAGACAAAGGCUGGUCACCUGAGUAAGUGCAGCGAAAGUAUAGAUAUACGUCAGAUAUGUUAGUCUUAAGUAAACAGUACGGGGGACCAGGCCUAGGAGAAGGUCUAUUUGGGAGCUGCAGUUUCAGGGGCCGUGUGCACAGGGGACCAGGCUGGGCUCACGGAGAAGGUCUAUUCUGGGGCUGGAGUUUCAGGGUCCAUGUGCACAGGGGACCCGGCUGGGCUCAUGCAGAAGGUCUGUUCUGGGGCCAGGGUGUGCAGGGCCGUGUGCACAGGGGACCCGGCUGGGUUCAUGGAGAAGGUCUAUUCUGGGGCUGGAGUUUCAGGGGCCAUGUGCACAGGGGGAUCCGGCUGGGUUCAUGGAGAAGGUCUAUUUGGGGGCUGGAGUUUCAGGGGCCGUGUGCACAGAGGACCCGGCUGGGCUCAUGGAGAAGGUUUAUUCUGGGGCUGGAGUGUGCGUGGGUCAUGUGCACAGGGGACCCAGCUGGGCUCAUGCAGAAGAUGUAUUCUGGGGCCAAGGUGUGCAGGGCCAUGUGCACAGGGGACCCAGCUGGGCUCAUGCAGAAGGUCUGUUCUGGGGCCAAGGUGUGCACGGGCCGUGUGCACAGGGGACCCAGCUGGGCUCACGGAGAAGGUCUAUUCUGGGGCUGGAGUGUGCAGGGCCGUGUGCACAGGCGACCCGGCUGGGCUCAUGCAGAAGGUGUAUUCUGGGGCCAAGGUGUGCAGGGCCGUGUGCACAGAGGGACCCAGCUGGGCUCACGGAGAAGGUCUCUUCUGGGGCUGGAGUUUCAGGGUCCAUGUGCACAGGCGACCCGGCUGGGCUCAUGCAGAAGGUGUAUUCUGGGGCCAAGGUGUGCAGGGCCGUGUGCACAGGGGAUCCGGCUGGGAUCACAGAGAAGGUCCCUUCUGGGGCUGGAGCUUCAGGGUCCAUGUGCACAAGGGGACCAGGCUGGGCGGAGAAGGUCUGAGUCUGUCCAGUGCCAGCUGUGCCUCCUGCCUCACCCACCGUCUCCCCACUUUCUCUUCCCCGUUUCUGUCCUCUUUUCCUCUACCAUCGAGACGCGCACACCCUGUCCUGGUUGGGGUGCCUCCCGUCACCCUCAGGACAAAAGCCCCCCCACUGGAGACCCUCCCCCCCGCCCCCGGCACGCUCCA